rnacentral:rRNA from 1 species
UCCUCCCUCUUUCUUCGUGCUUAACACAUGCAAGUCGAACGAAGAGCGAUGGACGCUUGCUUCUAUCAAUCUUAGUGGCGAACGGGUGAGUAACGCGUAAUCAACCUGCCCUUCAGAGGGGGACAACAGUUGGAAACGACUGCUAAUACCGCAUACGAUCUAAUCUCGGCAUCGAGGAUAGAUGAAAGGUGGCCUCUACAUGUAAGCUAUCACUGAAGGAGGGGAUUGCGUCUGAUUAGCUAGUUGGAGGGGUAACGGCCCACCAAGGCGAUGAUCAGUAGCCGGUCUGAGAGGAUGAACGGCCACAUUGGGACUGAGACACGGCCCAGACUCCUACGGGAGGCAGCAGUGGGGAAUCUUCCGCAAUGGACGAAAGUCUGACGGAGCAACGCCGCGUGAGUGAGGACGGCCUUCGGGUUGUAAAGCUCUGUUAAUCGGGACGAAAGGCCUUCUUGCGAAUAGUGAGAAGGAUUGACGGUACCGGAAUAGAAAGCCACGGCUAACUACGUG